UACGAGGGGGCAAAUGUUGUUCGGAAUCACUGGGCGUAAAGGGAGCGUAGGCGGGUUCUUAAGUUAGGUGUUUAAUCCCGGGGCCCAACCCCGGACCGGCACUUAAACUGGAAUCUUGAAUAGUGGAGAGGUCAGUGGAAUUGGGGGUGUAGCGGUGGAAUGCGUAGAGAUCCCCAAGAACACCAGUUGCGAAGGCGGACAUCCUGGACCAACACUGACACUGAGGAGCGAAAGCCAGGGGAGCAAACGGG
rnacentral:rRNA from 1 species